GGAGACCUUUUUCCAAAGUCACUCACACAGCCUCAGGUGUUUACAGGCCUCAGGUCCUUGCUGGCUGUUGGCCAGAGGCCUCAGUUCCUUGCCACAAGGGCCUCCCCAUAGGUUACUCACAACAUAACAGUUUGCAGCCCCCAGAACAAGGACCCCAGAGACAGAGUGAGAGAGGGCAAGAGAAGGCAAGAUGCAAGUCACACUCUUUUUGUAACCUAAUCCCAUCACAUUUCCUGAAUUCUGCUCAUUAGAAAGAAGUCACUAGAUUCAGCCCACAUUCAAGAUGAGAAAUACCAGAAGGCAGAGAACACUGAGGCUGUUUUAGAGGCUGUCAACCCCAGGGAGACAGACAGCAAAUAAGUAAGCAAAUAAAUAAAAAUGGAAGGUGAUAAUAAGUGCAAUGAAAAGAAAUGAAGCAGAGUAAAGAAUCAAGAGUAGCAGUUGAGGGGAUGCUUGGAUGUUUUCACACCACUCUGACACAUGGAUGGAAGGUUAGAAGACAACAAAGGAAUGGGCUGGGAAGGACUCCAAAAGCAGAAUCAGAGAUUAUAUCAUUCCUUGGAAAUGGAGAAAAGGAUCAAAAAAGCUGAAUAAAAGGUAGUCCCAGCAACAAUG
rnacentral:lncRNA from 1 species